CUACGGGGGGCUGCAGUCGCGGAACUUUUACAAUGCACGCAAGUGUGAUAAAGCGAACCAAAGUGUUUUUCGUUUAGAAAAACUUUUUCUUAGUGUAAAAAUCUAGGAGAAUAAGGACUGGGAAAGACUGGUGCCAGCCGCCGCGGUAAUACCAGCAGUUCAAGUUGCAUCCCUUUUUAUUGGGUCUAAAACAUCCGUAGCUUGCCGUUUAAGUCUCUUGUGAAAUCCUACGUCUCAAGCGUGGGGCUUGCAGGGGAUACUGAGCGGCUAGAGAUCGGUAGACGUAAGGAGUACGCCGGGGGUAAUGGUCAAAUAUGUUAAUCCUCGGUGGACUAACAAUGAGCGAAGGCACCUUACGAGGACGAAUCUGACAGUCAGGGAUGAAGGCCAGGGGCGCAAAACGGAUUAGAUACCCUGGUAGUC
rnacentral:rRNA from 1 species